CAGGGGGUUGUCUAAUUUUAGGAUAUUAGCUUUGGGAGCUAAAGGUGGGAGUUAAAAUCUCCUCUUCCUGA
rnacentral:tRNA from 1 species